rnacentral:rRNA from 1 species
UACGUAGGGGGCAAGCGUUGUCCGGAAUCAUUGGGCGUAAAGCGCGCGUAGGCGGCCCGGUAAGUCCGUUGUGAAAGUCAAAGGCUCAACCUUUGAACGCCGAUGGAUACUGCCGGGCUAGAGUCCGGAAGAGGCGAGUGGAAUUCCUGGUGUAGCGGUGGAAUGCGCAGAUAUCAGGAGGAACACCUAUAGCGAAGGCAGCUUGCUGGGACGUUACUGACGCUAAGGCGCGAAAGCGUGGGGAGCGAACAGG